AGGGUUGUAGCUCAGUGGUAGAGCAUCUGCCUUGCAAGCAGAAGGUCCCAGGUUCAAUCCCCACCAUCUCCA